UAGAUUUGGAGUUUUUCAAUACUCAAGUAUCACCCUCCAAAAAUUAGAUGGCCUGUAUUCAAUCUUGGAGCCUUUUCUUCACAAUGGUAAAGAAGACCCUCAAACAUGCGCUAAUCCUCGUAACUGAAACUGCUCCAAAUGGACUUCCCUCCUGCUAGGUGAGAGUGGUAUUUCCACUCCUAAAAUGGGCCCUCCAUGCAACCUCUCCAUACCGCACAUCACAUCUCUCCCCUUUUUAUUAUUAUUUUACUCUAAGUUGAAAGAAUUUUCCUUUGAAAUUUUAGAAGAUUUGAUGUUCUCAUGCUUUCCACAGGCUUUUUUGAAUUCAGUUCUCGGAGAUGCGAUAUGGACCAACAUGUUCAAAAAAUCUGUGGAGAAACAUAGAAACAAUCAUAACACCACAUUUCAUAUUUGAAGGUUAUGCAAUUUUAUCGGAAUGUCGUCCACAGGGAAUUUUCCAGAUGAUAAUAGGUAGGUAUUUUUCACUGGCACACUGCUGCCAGAUUGGUUUUGAUGUUGUGGGUGUGUGUGCCUGUAUUUGUGUGUGUGUUUUCAUCUAUACGAGUAAGAGGUCCAGUGCAACGGGUCGAGGAUAAUUCCAUUUUGUAGGACCCUAGAAAUGAGGGACACUAAGUUGGAUUUUUCAUCUAUCUCAAAUCUGAAAUGGAGAAUGCUACCGAUAUCGAUUUGUUUUCUACUAGACACAUUUCCUUUUUGAGGAUUAGAUGUGAGCGCCCAAGGACGUGCAGUACCUUACAUUUGAUUCGGGUGAGUUAGUUUAAUUUCUUUUGAUUGUGAAUAUCUGAUGAAAUUAGUGUUUAAGAAACUGGAUCGGAUGGGUAAACCAGGCAUUCGGGGAGUGGCCGA
rnacentral:lncRNA from 1 species